GACGAACGCUGGCGGCGUGCCUAAUACAUGCAAGUAGAACGCUGAAGGAGGAGCUUGCUCUUCUGGAUGAGUUGCGAACGGGUGAGUAACGCGUAGGUAACCUGCCUGGUAGCGGGGGAUAACUAUUGGAAACGAUAGCUAAUACCGCAUAAGAGUAGAUGUUGCAUGACAUUUACUUAAAAGGUGCAAUUGCAUCACUACCAGAUGGACCUGCGUUGUAUUAGCUAGUUGGUGGGGUAACGGCUUACCAAGGCGACGAUACAUAGCCGACCUGAGAGGGUGAUCGGCCACACUGGGACUGAGGCACGGCCCAGACUCCUACGGGAGGCAGCAGUAGGGAAUCUUCGGCAAUGGACGGAAGUCUGACCGAGCAACGCCGCGUGAGUGAAGAAGGUUUUCGGAUCGUAAAGCUCUGUUGUAAGAGAAGAACGAGUGUGAGAGUGGAAAGUUCACACUGUGACGGUAUCUUACCAGAAAGGGACGGCUAACUACGUG
rnacentral:rRNA from 1 species